rnacentral:hammerhead_ribozyme from 1 species
AUCCAGUUAAAGAGUCCCAAACAGGACGAAAUGUACAUCCUGGUU